rnacentral:rRNA from 1 species
CAUGCAGGCGGUCGGACGCGUUUUGUGUGACAGCGGGUGGCUUAACUACCCGAGUAUGCGAAAGACGGUCUGACUUGAGGGCUCGAGAGGGACACGGAAUUCCGGGUGGAGUGGUGAAAUGCGUAGAGAUCCGGAGGAACACCAAAGGCGAAGGCAGUGUCCUGGCGAGUGACUGACGCUGAGGUGCGAAAGCCAGGGGAGCGAACGGGAUUAGAUACCCCGGUAGUCCUGGCCGUAAACGAUGACCACCAGGUGUGGGAGGUAUCGACCCCUUCCGUGCCGGAGUCAACACACUAAGUGGUCCGCCUGGGGAGUACGGUCGCAAGAUUAAA